rnacentral:misc_RNA from 1 species
UUGGACCCGGCGCCCGCGGCCGUAGAAAGGUCAAUUCGAGACGGAACCUUCUUGGAGAUUCUGUUGUGGUUGUGGCAUGAAAACGCGGCGAAGCAAAGGAAAGCAGAGAGCGUCCGGAUCCCCACGUGCCUCGUCGCUCGGCAGCCGUCCCGGCAUCAAGAAUUCAGCAUCCACCGGCUGGCACCCACGAAGCCUCGAGAGCCGCCACCUCUCCCAGGCCCCCUACUCGGUCUCCUCUCGCUAUAUAAUGCAUCCACCGCACCGAUCCGAGCUUCAAUUGCCCUCUCAGGUCGGCUCAUCAACAUCAGGCCAUCCACCAAUUCACUCCGACAGCUAACACGUUUGCCGCCGAUGGGGUCGUCGGUGAAGAAGGCGGCAGUGGCGGAGACGACGGCGCGGGCGGUGGACCAGGCGGUGGCGUACGUGCUCAUGGCCGCCGCGCUCGCCGUCACCUACCUCGUGCACUGA